ACAUACGACCAUAGGAAGUGGAAAACAGGGCUUCCCGUCCGCUCAGCCGUACUUUAAACCACUUGCCGGCUGGCUAGUAGUUGGGUGGGUGACCACCAGCGAAUCCCAGCUGUUGUAUGUU
rnacentral:rRNA from 1 species